AACGCACAUUGCGCCCCCCGGUAUUCCGAGGGGCACGCCUGUCCGAGCGCCAUCACACCCCCCACGCAACGCGUGAUGUUGGGCGAUGCGGGAGACCGCACGCCUGGAACUCAUAGGCGGCCGCCUCGGCCCUGCGAGCGUAGCAAGACGGAUCCCCCUGGGGAACCCAGCGCGCGCAGGCCGCGGGCGGCUCAGCCCCCAGCUAUGGCGUACGCGCCCAUCAGUUUUGGCCUCGGAUCAGGCGGGGAUACCCGCUGAACUUAA
rnacentral:misc_RNA from 1 species